AAUAAAUGCAGUUUUAUACUAUUUAUUUUCAACGUUUAUGUCUUAUCUGAAAAUUUUUUAUAAUUAGUGCUUUUAUUGUUAUUUGAUGAUAAAAUAUGAAUAGUAUUUUAUGUGUGAUUAUUUUUUUUAAAAUUUUUUUAUAAAUUUUUUAAAUAAGACGAACGGUUAAACGUUGGAGUGGGAAAUAAUGG
rnacentral:pre_miRNA from 1 species